CUAACACCCACGAGCUCUCUGCAGCCAAUUUACUUGGCAGCAAAAAGUUCCUUCAACACAGUCUUAAAAAUUCUUUCAAAAAGUAUCCAGUCUUGUUUAGAGCCUCGUCCUGAAUUCCUUUGUGCAUGCCAAGCUCUGAGGGCCUGAUCCUGCUCUGCUGGCUCCUGUUGAGUACUUCCUGACCCUGAGAUGAGUCUGCCUGAGAGCCGUGAGACUGCCCUGGUGCUAGCUGAAGAGUAGAAUACUGCUUAGGACUUGUAUUAGUGCCAGAAGGAAAUCAAAUGCCAAGAGGCCUAUUUUAAUUGAUGACAUACAACCCUUUUAUGUUCAGUUUUCACGUAAGUUGUUUUUUUUUUGAACACUAUACCUUCAUUACAUGGAAGCACCCAGGUGUUUCCAAGUCAGUGCGUUCUAGACAUAGGCUACGUCUUCACUACCCGCCGUAUUGGCGGGUAGCAAUCGAUUGCUCAGGGAUCGAUAUAUUGCGUCUCAUCUAGACGCGAUAUAUUGAUCCCCGAACACGCUUAUAUUGAUUCCGAAACUCCACCAACCUCAACGGAGUUGCGGAGUCGACAUGGGGAGCUGCGUACAUCGAUCCCGUGCCGUGAGGAUGACACUGUUCCUUUCUUGUGGCUGAAAAUGUAGGAUGAGAUCUCCACUCAGCAGAAAGUCAUAAGAGGGUGGACAGCUAUGGAAGACUUCCCAGAUCUUCUGCAUCUGGAAAAUAAAGCACAGACGCAUAUGCUAAAGCUCAAGAAGACUUGUAAAAUUCUGCUCCCCCAGUUAGGUUAUUUCUUUGAUGGGUGAGUAAAACAUGAUUUGUUUUUCAUUAUCAUCAUCACGGUAAAGGUUUUGCCUGGGCUGGAACAUUUGUAUGGCAAUUACUAUUUAUUAUGUACAGUGUAGUAGUUCCAAAGGCGCCAAUCAGAUCAGGCCUUGUUUUACUUGGAACUAUGCAAAAAUAAGGGAAGGCAUGGUCCCCUGUUCUGUAAAGUUUACAGUCUGAGAUUGCAAGCCUGGGCUAAUGCACAUCCAUUAAACCCUACUUGUGCCUGAAAAGGUACAACCCAAACCAUUUUGAAAUAUCCCCUUCCCCUGGGUUCUUCCCUACUUUAGUAAAACAGGGAAAAAUUUGGAUGCAUAGAGAAGGAGAGAGCAUAAGCCAGCUGCCAUAAUUGUGGCAGCUAAAAUCUGGGAAAAACUAUUUAAUAAAGGAUGGCAGAAUCAAACAUGAAUGGUAAAAACAGGAACUUUACAUUUUUGUGUGCUUUUUUUACUGGCCUGGUUGAGCCAGAUCUUGCAUGUUUUAUUCCAAAGCUUCUAACUUCUAACCCUGACUUUUUUUAAACACAAAACAAUAAUAGCCAGAGCAGUGAUUUUGUAUGGAAAGUUUAAUAGCAAACAGGCAGCUAAGAAGAUCUCACGACUCUCAGUUGCAGUACAAUUUAAGUUAGGCUUAUGUAAUGCUAACAGAGCAUAUUGUUUUUGUUUAGUACUACCCUGGAUUCUUCCAAAUAUACAUUCAAAUUGAGCCCUCUUGUGUUUGCUCAAGUUCAUUACAACACCUUUAAUGAAAUUAGAAAGCCCUUUUAUUGACCCAUAAUGUAGAUUCAUAGAUUUUUAAAUCCAGAAGUGACCAUUAUAUCUGACCUCCUCUUCUUCUGUAACACAGGUCACAGAUUUUCACCAGGUAAUUUUGGCAUCAAGCCCAUAACUUCUGACUGAGCUUAGCAUAUCUUUCAGAAAGAUAUCUAGACUCAAGUGAUGGAGAAUCCACUAUAAGUAAGGCUAAGAUUUAGUCAUGGGUAUUUUCAAUAAAAGUCAUGGACAGGUCAUGGACAAUAAACAAAGAUUCAUGGCCCAUGACCUAUCUAUGACUUUUACUAUAAAUACCCCUGACUAAAUCUUAGCUGCUCCUGGGGCCUGGGCUGACUGCUCUGGGGGGAUCCUGGGGGCCAACAGCUGGCCGCUAGUCUGGCGGUGGGGGCGCAGCUGUAACUAUAACCUAGGUUAGUUGUCCAAGUGGUUAAUUACCUUCAUUGUAAAAAAAUGUGUAUGACUUAUUUCCAGUCUGAAUUUGUCUAGCUUCAACUUCUAGCCACUGGUAAGAACCAUUAUGCCUUUGUCUGCUAAAUUAAAGGAGCCUCUGGUAUCAGAAAUCUUCUCCUCAUGAAAUUACUUACACUGUGUGCUUAGCAGGCACAAAGGUAGUCUAGGGCAAUUAUAAACUGGGUCCUAUGUGCUUUCUGUACUGACAUUUCCAUGCAAUAUAUUUUCUUUCCUAAACCCUAGAGUGGGAAUUCCAAAAAUGCCUGUGUGACUUAGGAACACAAGUUCCAUUGAAUGCCAGUUGUGCUUCUAAAUCAUGUAGGCGUUUUUGAAAAUCAUACCCACGAUAAACAGCAUAAUGACUUACUAAGUCAUAUGACUAAUAUAUAAGGAAAUGUUUUUAUUAUGAGUGGGGAUUUCAACCACACAAGUCUCCAUUGACUUCGUUGGGAACUAUAUGGCUAUAACACUGCGUGCUGCUUUGACAAUAUGGGGGUUUUGUGACAAUUCAGAUACGGCAUUGCCCAGACACCAUGACAAUCAGAGUGGCAUAAGAAUAUACAUAAAUCAGUACUGGAAUGGCUAUUCAAUAUCAGUGGCUAGUUUAACUCUGAGGAUGUGAUGCACUGGGAACAUUAACCACUAGAACACAAUCAUGUCACUAAAAAAUCCAGGUCUCAUCACAUCUUCACUAACCCAAGUAAUCAUGAAAUAGAAACACAUAUAAAUUCUAGUGUGGAAAUAAACACAAUCCUUGUAGUUGGAACACAAAGCAAAGCUGCCUGCUUUCAUGCAAAAUGUAAUGACUACUUCCUAUCACAUGGCAUAGAGCGUAAACAUGAAGCCAUGCACUAAAGAUCCUAAUGAACCAUCUUAAACACGAAGAGGUACAAUACAGAAGAGUUUGCCUGCUAAACGUUGGGCCCACUGAGGUGGUGCCAUUACGGCUGAAAGUAACUUAAAGGACUUAUUGGUACUCCAGAGUCCUGAGCAGGGGCGUGGCCUCAGCCAGAAGAGGCGUGGUCUUUCAAGAUUUAAAGGCCCUGGGGCUUUGGCUGUGGCUGGGAGCACCCAGGGCUUUUAAAUCACCCCGGAACUACCAGCUGCAGAGGCGGCUGGGAGCCCUGGGGCUCAGAGGUGAAUUAAAGGGCUCGGGGCUCCGGCUGCUGUGGAGCUCUGCCACCACUACCCUGGGGUGGCAGAGCUCGGGUGGGGAUUUAAAAGGCCCAGUGUUUCUGCCACUGCGGGGAGCCCUGGGCCCUUUAAAGCGCCACCGGAGCCCUGCCACUGCUGUGGUAGACUUCACCCAAAAGAAUGCUCUGUAUUGUCUUUCCUCCUCCCUAUGUACUUCUGUUAACAUUAAUGGGAAGGAUGCCCAUGUAUUUAGGAAAUUUAGACCUGUAAGUGUAGUGAUUGUCAUUGUUGUUACUUUGGGGUGGGGAAAUGAUUGUUAAUGCUUUGAACGUUAAAAGAAAUAAUUUAGGGGAAUCAAGAGGCUGUUUAUUCUUGUAAUACACAACAUUUUAAGUUGGUGAAAUGAGUGGUCUAAUCACAAAUCAACAAUAUCCUUUCCGAUGUCUGCAGCAAAGAAAGUGAAUAUGAUUUUGAAAAAGCAACUUCAGUCCAUCCGGUCUGAUAUUUUGCUAUCAGCGCUUUCAGAUCAGAGCAUGAAAUUAAGUGGAAUGACAUUAAUGUGUUUAACACAGUGCCUGUUCUUCUGAUCACUGUGAUCAGUUGUGACAUGUACUUAAAUUAA